GACGAACGCUGGCGGCGUGCUUAACACAUGCAAGUCGAGCGGUAAGGCCCUCGGGUACGACGAGCGGCGAACGGGUGAGUAACACGUGGGUGACCUGCCUCUAGCUCUGGGAGUAAGCCUGGGAAACGUAGGGUCGUAAUACCGGAUAUGACUCCACGGCGCAUGUUGUGGGGUGGGAAAGCCUUGUGUGGCUAGAGAUGGG
rnacentral:rRNA from 1 species